rnacentral:rRNA from 1 species
GGAUAACCUACCCUUAGGACCGGGAUAACCCUGGGAAACUGGGGAUAAUACUGGAUAGGCAAUUUUUCCUGUAAUGGUUUUUUGUUUAAAUGUUUUUUCGCCUAAGGAUGGGUCUGCGGCCGAUUAGGUAGUUGGUUAGGUAAUGGCUUACCAAGCCGUUGAUCGGUACGGGUUGUGAGAGCAAGAGCCCGGAGAUGGAACCUGAGACAAGGUUCCAGGCCCUACGGGGUGCAGCAGGCGCGAAACCUCCGCAAUGUGAGAAAUCGCGACGGGGGGAUCCCAAGUGCCAUUCUUAACGGGAUGGCUUUUCAUUAGUGUAAAGAGCUUUUGGAAUAAGAGCUGGGCAAGACCGGUGCCAGCCGCCGCGGUAACACCGGCAGCUCUAGUGGUAGCAAUUUUUAUUGGGCCUAAAGCGUCCGUAGCCGGUUUAAUAAGUCUCUGGUGAAAUCCUGCAGCUUAACUGUGGGAAUUGCUGGAGAUACUAUUAGACUUGAGACCGGGAGAGGUUAGAGGUACUCCCAGGAUAG